GAUGAACGCUGGCGGCGUGCCUAAUACAUACAAGUCGAGCGAACAGACGAGGAGCUUGCUCCUCUGACGUUAGCGGCGGACGGGUGAGUAACACGUGGAUAACCUACCUAUAAGACUGGGAUAACUUCGGGAAACCGGAGCUAAUACCGGAUAAUAUAUUGAACCGCAUGGUUCAAUAGUGAAAGACGGUUUUGCUGUCACUUAUAGAUGGAUCCGCGCCGCAUUAGCUAGUUGGUAGGUAACGGCUUACCAAGGCAACGAUGCGUAGCCGACCUGAGAGGGUGAUCGGCCACACUGGAACUGAGACACGGUCCAGACUCCUACGGGAGGCAGCAGUAGGGAAUCUUCCGCAAUGGGCGAAAGCCUGACGGAGCAACGCCGCGUGAGUGAUGAAGGUCUUCGGAUCGUAAAACUCUGUUAUUAGGGAAGAACAAAUGUGUAAGUAACUAUGCACGUCUUGACGGUACCUAAUCAGAAAGCCACGGCUAACUACGUG
rnacentral:rRNA from 1 species